GAACCCAUAGCUCAGCCUGGUCAGAGCGCUGGUCUUAUAAGCCAGAGGUCCACGGUUCAAAUCCGUGUGGGUUCA
rnacentral:tRNA from 1 species